AUGUCUUGCUACACUAUUACCACAACUUGCAAAGGCACAAGUUUAAGACGAGGACAUACAGAUUUUCGAAUCCAAGCCCAUUUCCAGCUGAACCGAAGCACAAAAGCCCACUUGUCCCUUCUCCCUUCCUCGGCUUCGGAUUUUCCCUCUACCUUUGGACGCCAUCGCCGUCGCCGUCGCGGCGGCAAACCCCCAAAAAUGGCGCCUCCUCCCCUAGACGACCUCACGCACCUGCUCGCCGAGGUGGCCUCCCACCUCUCCCGCCCUCCCGGCGGCGCGGGCCCCUCCUCCGCGGCCGGCGACGCGCUCUCCGCCAACGUAUCCUCCCUCGCGGCGGCCCUCAACCCCCGCGCCGCCGCCCCUGCCUCCUCCGGAACCAGGGUCCUCGACGCCGCGCUCUCCCUCAUGUGCUUCGACCCACAGGAGGUGGAUAGGGCUCGCCUGGACUGCCUCGUCCGCACCGCCGUCUCCGCGCUCUCCGGCCCGGCCACGUGCCGAGUGGCCCGGACCGACGACCGCGCCGAGAUGCUCUGCGUCGGGAGCUCCGUCUCGCCCCGGGACUGCCGCGAGCUGGUCCGCUCCUGCGCCGCCCUCGUCGAGAAAUUGGGUGGCCGUGAUGUUACGGGGCAUUCCUAUGAUCUGUUGCAUGCUGCUGUGAAAACGGCGCUGUUAUCCCCUCGUUACCAGUGUCUCUUUCCUUCGCCAUAUUACAGAGAAGAUGGAGAAAGCAGUUGCGAGAUGGGUACCAUUUCUCUGGAUGUAACAACUCAUCCAUCUUAUCAAGUGCUUCCCAGUGAUGGCUCAAUCCCGCCGAGGGCCCUUUUGUGGCAUUACGACCCAUCAAUUCUGAAACAUGAUCUUUCAGAGAUGCUACGAGAAGCAAUCACAAGGCCUUUGCUUUGUCUGAGAAAAGAAUUACAUGAUCGGGUAGCAUGGCGUGUGAUUGUAAUAUGCUUAGUUUGCUCCCCACCAGCGUUCUUGGAGAUGCGGUCAUUAUUCCAUAUAUGGUUUCUUGCGACGGGUAUGGGUUCUGUGCUAGGACUUUGCACAGCAGUGGUAUCAUCAGUAAUAGAUCUUCUUCUCGAGCCUAUGGGAUGGGGAAUAUCCAUGGAACUGGGACAGAAAUUUCCCUUUACACAUGCUUAUUUCCCAAGCCAACAAAGGGAUUUGCUUGCCAUACUAACUGGACCCAUAUCAUGCAGACGAUUUUUGGAUCUUGUUUCUUACAUAGAAGCUAUGGUUUUCUUGGGUAAAACAAGCAGCGACAACUCUUCAUGGAAAAACAUACAAUCACAACCACCAAAAGGGCCACACUUUGGCAAGAAACAACCAUCAAAAGGAUUGGUCAAAUUCAAAUACAGUUCUGCUUGGUUGACAAUUACGAACUUCCCUAUCUGGUUCAAUUUUGCCACUGCUCUACUAUUUCACCAGGAAGGUUCACAAGGUUAUUUAUCAGAAGUAUUAUCUGAGGAGAAAACUGCUGAAUCAAUAAGCGAUAUCAGUGUUGCUCAGAGGGCAGCAUUUUACCUUUCGUGGGUAUUAUGCCCUUCUAAUGUUGAUGAAUGCCAGUUGCUAGCUAAAAAUAUGGUCGAGUUAUCACAUUCUUGGGCCAGGAACAACAAAAGACGCCCAAGUUAUGCACACCAUGCCAGUACAGUAAAUCACAGGAGGAAACUGCGAGUACCCACAGUUGGGGAUAAUGUGUCAACCAACCCUGUCAGUUCCCUUAUCAAAGAUUUUGAUGAUCGCUGUGUGAAGUUGUGUCGCAUAAGUGCUGUCAGUCCGGUGCAAGGUGCAGAACAAUUAGAUAUCCCUCUCUCAUGCCCUAAUUUUCUGCAUUUACGGGUUCCUUUAGGGAUGUUGCUUGUGUCCUCUGCUUGUAUUAGUGAGCAAGACUGUAACGUGCUUCUGCACUACGCAAGCACUGGUCUGGUUAUGGAGUCAAAGGAAGGGCAGACAAAAAGGAAAGAUCAGGCUGGCAAUGAUGUUUUUUCAUCUAGUCGUGGAGGUUCUACUGAAAGACGGGCUUUAAGUGGUGCAUGUCUCAUCUUUGGCUGGCUUGACAUUAUUGAGGAUAUGUCUGCAGUGAUCUUUGAAUGUGAAGAUACAUGUCGUCAUUUUGUCAGUCAACUCAGAACCAAGACAGGCCCAUACGUGCUGAAGUGUGUAAAUUUAUUGCUGAAUGAGGCGGGUCAUGAUAAAGAUUUUGUAAUCGAUCUUCGCAACAGAUUGUUAAACUGGACUAAUAAAGGGCAGCGUUUUGAUGGUUGUGAGGCAUUCAAAGACGUUAUCGUUCAAAUGAACGCAAAAAUUCAGCCCUCUUCAUAG
rnacentral:rRNA from 1 species